AUACGGAGGGUGCAAGCGUUAAUCGGAAUUACUGGGCGUAAAGCGUACGUAGGCGGUUCGUUAAGUUAGAUGUGAAAGCCCCGGGCUUAACCUGGGAACUGCAUUUAAAACUGGCGAACUAGAGUGGAGUAGAGGGGAGUGGAAUUUCAGGUGUAGCGGUGAAAUGCGUAGAGAUCUGAAGGAACACCAGUGGCGAAGGCGACUCCCUGGACUCGAACUGACGCUGAGGUACGAAAGCGUGGGUAGCAAACGGGAUUAGAUACCCUAGUAGUCC
rnacentral:rRNA from 1 species